rnacentral:rRNA from 1 species
CGGAGGGUGCAAGCGUUAUCCGGAUUCACUGGGUUUAAAGGGUGCGUAGGCGGAUUUUUAAGUCCGUGGUGAAAUCUCCGAGCUUAACUCGGAAACUGCCAUGGAUACUAUGAGUCUUGAAUGUUGUGGAGGUUUGCGGAAUAUGUCAUGUAGCGGUGAAAUGCUUAGAUAUGACAUAGAACACCGAUUGCGAAGGCAGCAGGCUACACAAAUAUUGACGCUGAGGCACGAAAGCGUGGGGAUCAAACAGGAUUAGAUACCCUGGUAGUCCACGCCCUAAACGAUGAUUACUCGACAUUUGCGAUACACAGCAAGUGUCUGAGCGAAAGCAUUAAGUAAUCCACCUGGAAGUACGACCGCAAGGUUG